rnacentral:rRNA from 1 species
GACGAACGCUGGCGGCGUGCUUAACACAUGCAAGUCGAACGAGACGAUUGAAAGCUUGCUUUCGAAAGUCGAGUGGCAAACGGGUGAGUAACGCGUAGACAACCUGCAUUUGAGAUGGGGACAAGAGUUCGAAAGGACUGCUAAUACCGAAUGUUGUAUAUUUUCCACAUGGACGAUAUAGUAAAGAUGGCCUGUAUGUAUAAGCUAUCGCUCAAAGUUGGGUCUGCGUCUGAUUAGCUGGUUGGUGGGGUAACGGCCUACCAAGGCGACGAUCAGUAGCCGGUCUGAGAAGAUCAACGGCCACAUUGGGACUGAGACCCGGCCCAGACUCCUACGGGAGGCAGCAGUGGGGAAUCUUCCACAAUGGACGAAAGUCUGAUGGAGCAACGCCGCGUGAGUGAAGAAGGGUUUCGGCUCGUAAAGCUCUGUUGUCGGGGACGAAUGUGCAGUAUUUGAAUAAAGUACUGCAAUGACGGUACCUGACGAGGAAGCCACGGCUAACUACGUGCCAGCAGCCGCGGUAA